rnacentral:misc_RNA from 1 species
GAUGAAGAACGUAGCGAAAUGCGAUAAGUAAUGUGAAUUGCAGAAUUCAGUGAAUCAUCGAAUCUUUGAACGCACAUUGCGCCCGUCAGUAUUCUGGCGGGCAUGCCUGUUCGAGCGUCAUUACGCCCCUCAAGUCCCCUGUGGACUUGGUGUUGGGGAUCGGGGAGGCUGGUUUUCCAGCACAGCCGUCCCUUAAAUUAAUUGGCGGUCUCGCCGUGGCCCUCCUCUGCGCAGUAGUAAAACACUCGCAACAGGAGCCCGGCGCGGUCCACUGCCGUAAAACCCCCCAACUUUUUAUAGUUGACCUCGAAUCAGGUAGGACUACCCGCUGAACUUAAGCAUAUCAAUAAGCGGAGGA